rnacentral:rRNA from 1 species
UGUUAGUUGCCAUCAUUCAGUUGGGCACUCUAGCGGGACUGCCGGUAAUAAACCGGAGGAAGGUGGGGAUGACGUCAAAUCAUCAUGCCCCUUAUGACCUGGGCUACACACGUGCUACAAUGGUUGGUACAACGAGUUGCGAGUCGGUGACGGCGAGCUAAUCUCUUAAAGCCAAUCUCAGUUCGGAUUGUAGGCUGCAACUCGCCUACAUGAAGUCGGAAUCGCUAGUAAUCGCGGAUCAGCACGCCGCGGUGAAUACGUUCCCGGGCCUU